UACGUAGGGUGCAAGCGUUGUCCGGAAUUAUUGGGCGUAAAGAGCUCGUAGGCGGUCUGUUGCGUCGGCUGUGAAAACCCGGGGCUCAACUCCGGGCCUGCAGCCGAUACGGGCAGACUAGAGUUCGGCAGGGGAGACUGGAAUUCCUGGUGUAGCGGUGAAAUGCGCAGAUAUCAGGAAGAACACCAAUGGCGAAAGCAGCUUUCUGGGACGGUACUGACGCUGAGACGCGAAAGCGUGGGGAGCGAACAGG
rnacentral:rRNA from 1 species